CGGAGCGUAGCGCAGCCUGGUAGCGCAUCUGGUUUGGGACCAGAGGGUCGNAGGUUCGAAUCCUNNCGCUCCGACCA
rnacentral:tRNA from 1 species